UCUAGACUGAAAAGGCUGUGUCCCACUCUGGGAAGGUGAUCUAUAUAGACUGAAAAGGCUGUGUCCCACUCUGGGAAGGUGAUCUAUAUAGACUGAAAAGGCUGUGUCCCACUCUGGGAAGGUGAUCUAUCUAGUAUAGACUGAAAAGGCUGUGUCCCACUCUGGGAAGGUGAUCUAUCUAGUAUAGACUGAAAAGGCUGUGUCCCACUCUGGGAAGGUGAUCUAUCUAGUAUAGACUGAAAAGGCUGUGUCCCACUCUGGGAAGGUGAUCUAUCUAGUAUAGACUGAAAAGGCUGUGUCCCACUCUGGGAAGGUGAUCUAUCUAGUAUAGACUGAAAAGGCUGUGUCCCACUCUGGGAAGGUGAUCUAUCUAGUAUAGACUGAAAAGGCUGUGUCCCACUCUGGGAAGGUGAUCUAUCUAGUAUAGACUGAAAAGGCUGUGUCCCACUCUGGGAAGGUGAUCUAUCUAGUAUAGACUGAAAAGGCUGUGUCCCACUCUGGGAAGGUGAUCUAUAUAGACUGAAAAGGCUGUGUCCCACUCUGGGAAGGUGAUGUAUCUAGUAUAGACUGAAAAGGCUGUGUCCCACUCUGGGAAGGUGAUCUAUCUAGUAUAGACUGAAAAGGCUGUGUCCCACUCUGGGAAGGUGAUCUAUCUAGUAUAGACUGAAAAGGCUGUGUCCGACUCUGGGAAGGUGAUCUAUCUAGUAUAGACUGAAAAGGCUGUGUCCCACUCUGGGAAGGUGAUCUAUCUAGUAUAGACUGAAAAGGCUGUGUCCCACUCUGGGAAGGUGAUCUAUCUAGUAUAGACUGAAAAGGCUGUGUCCGACUCUGGGAAGGUGAUCUAUCUAGUAUAGACUGAAAAGGCUGUGUCCCACUCUGGGAAGGUGAUGUAUCUAGUAUAGACUGAAAAGGCUGUGUCCCACUCUGGGAAGGUGAUCUAUAUAGUAUAGACUGAAAAGGCUGUGUCCCACUCUGGGAAGGUGAUCUAUCUAGUAUAGACUGAAAAGGCUGUGUCCCACUCUGGGAAGGUGAUCUAUCUAGUAUAGACUGAAAAGGCUGUGUCCCACUUUGGGAAGGUGAUCUAUCUAGUAUAGACUGAAAAGGCUGUGUCCCACUCUGGGAAGGUGAUUUAUCUAGACUGAAAAGGCUGUGUCCGACUCUGGGAAGGUGAUCUAUUUAGUAUAGACUGAAAAGGCUGUGUCCCACUCUGGGAAGGUGAUCUAUCUAGUAUAGACUGAAAAGGCUGUGUCCCACUCUGGGAAGGUGAUCUAUCUAGUAUAGACUGAAAAGGCUGUAUCCCACUCUGGGAAGGUGAUCUAUCUAGUAUAGACUGAAAAGGCUGUGUCCCACUCUGGGAAGGUGAUCUAUCUAGUAUAGACUGAAAAGGCUGUGUCCCACUCUGGGAAGGUGAUCUAUCUAGUAUAGACUGAAAAGGCUGUGUCCCACUCUGCGAAGGUGAUGUAUCUAGUAUAGACUGAAAAGGCUGUGUCCCACUCUGGGAAGGUGAUCUAUAUAGACUGAAAAGGCUGUGUCCCACUCUGGGAAGGUGAUGUAUCUAGUAUAGACUGAAAAGGCUGUGUCCCACUCUGGGAAGGUGAUCUAUCUAGUAUAGACUGAAAAGGCUGUGUCCCACUCUGGGAAGGUGAUCUAUCUAGUAUAGACUGAAAAGGCUGUGUCCCACUCUGCGAAGGUGAUCUAUCUAGUAUAGACUGAAAAGGCUGUGUCCCACUCUGGGAAGGUGAUCUAUCUAGUAUAGACUGAAAAGGCUGUGUCCCACUCUGGGAAGGUGAUCUAUCUAGUAUAGACUGAAAAGGCUGUAUCCCACUCUGGGAAGGUGAUCUAUCUAGACUGAAAAGGCUGUAUCCCACUCUGGGAAGGUGAUCUAUCUAGUAUAGACUGAAAAGGCUGUAUCCCACUCUGGGAAGGUGAUCUAUCUAGUAUAGACUGAAAAGGCUGUGUCCUUGUUCCUGGUUGCUAAAAUUCGAAUAGUUUGAUUCAUUUCUGUUUGUGACAAUAGCAACUCUAGUGUAAUAAUUGUACCGUCUAAAUCACUGUGAAAUAUUGUCCAUAACCAUAUUGUAUUUUUAGCUGUUUGAAUCUGGUGUACAAAAGUAAAAGACACAAAAACCAAAUUCAAGACCGUUUAGCAUAGAAAAUAACAGAUCUAUAACUUAUAGUUCUAUGUGUAUUUGGUCAGGUCGCCCCAAAAGUUACAUAUCGCAGCUUAAAGCACAACAACAUUGCACAAAAUGGAUGACGUAGUGCACAAAAAACAGAAUGGAUGACAUAGUGCACAAAAAACAGAAUGGGUGACGUAGUGCACAAAAAACAGAAUGGAUGACGUAGUGCACAAAAAACAGAAUGGAUGACGUAGUGCACAAAAAACAGAAUGGAUGACGUAGUGCACAAAAAACAGAAUGGGUGACGUAGUGCACAGAAAACAGAAUGGGUGACGUAGUGCACAAAAAACAGAAUGGGUGACGUAGUGCACAAAAAACAGAAUGGGUGACGUAGUGCACAAAAAACAGAAUGGGUGACGUAGUGCACAAAAAACAGAAUGGGUGACGUAGUGCACAAAAAACAGAAUGGGUGACGUAGUGCACAAAAAACAGAAUGGGUGACGUAGUGCACAAAAAACAGAAUGGGUGACGUAGUGCACAAAAAACAGAAUGGGUGACGUAGUGCACAAAAAACAGAAUGGGUGACGUAGUGCACAAAAAACAGAAUGGGUGACGUAGUGCACAAAAAACAGAAUGGGUGACGUAGUGCACAAAAAACAGAAUGGGUGACGUAGUGCACAAAAAACAGAAUGGGUGACGUAGUGCACAAAA